rnacentral:rRNA from 1 species
UCCUGGCUCAGGACGAACGCUGGCGGCGUGCCUAAUACAUGCAAGUCGAACGCUUCUUUUUCCACCGGAGCUUGCUCCACCGGAAAAAGAGGAGUGGCGAACGGGUGAGUAACACGUGGGUAACCUGCCCAUCAGAAGGGGAUAACACUUGGAAACAGGUGCUAAUACCGUAUAACAAUCAAAACCGCAUGGUUUUGAUUUGAAAGGCGCUUUCGGGUGUCGCUGAUGGAUGGACCCGCGGUGCAUUAGCUAGUUGGUGAGGUAACGGCUCACCAAGGCCACGAUGCAUAGCCGACCUGAGAGGGUGAUCGGCCACAUUGGGACUGAGACACGGCCCAAACUCCUACGGGAGGCAGCAGUAGGGAAUCUUCGGCAAUGGACGAAAGUCUGACCGAGCAACGCCGCGUGAGUGAAGAAGGUUUUCGGAUCGUAAAACUCUGUUGUUAGAGAAGAACAAGGAUGAGAGUAACUGUCNCAUCCCUUGAC